AAAUAAAACCGUUUGAGUGUCGAAUUUGUUCAACGAAAAUGUAAAGUCUUAUUUUCUACCUGAGGUUUAUUUGAUCGAAUUGAAGUUUCGUAAUGCUUAAAUUGUUACGCGUAUGCUGAUAUAAAUUGGACACGUGACAUCCCAGCAACUUUGAGAAAAAAAACCCACUUUAUAUUGGAGUUGUCUCGAGAUGGUUUAACGUCGUAUUAAUGUAAUGUUAAAUCUCUCGUCAUUGAAUAUGGGCGGUUGAAGUUAACCACCCUCAUAAAAUAUUAAAAACAAAUAACAAUAAAUAGAUGUAUCUACCAAUCCAAAGAAUAGGCGGGAACUAGACAGCCAGCCGUGCCACUUUGUGAACAACGACUCCCAUUGUUAGGGCGGAGAGACGUAGUCUUGUCAGUUUUCCAUAAUCUUUGGUUUGGUGAAAACAUCUCUGGUGGGAAAAUGUUAUUAUAUUGUUUUAGGCAGAUGAGGUUAUUCGCAUGAAAAUCUGCCCCAAAUUGGUUGGAAACCUAGCUAUAGACGUGAAACUAGUUAGGGAAUUAAGAAAAUGUAAUGGUAGCUAAGUUAUUCAUAUGAAGAUAAUGAAAUGGUGAUUUCUGUUCGGCUAGUUGAAGAAGUCAGUAAUCUGAUUGACAGCCAGUAGUACGAGCUAGUGAGUAACGUUAGUGUUCUCGGGUUGUUAGCUAGGCAACUGUUUGUGGCAAUGACUUCUAGAGGUAGAGGAACCCAAAAAUCAAACAUAUCUGGUACAAAAGGAACUCCACGCAUUGCUAUAUCCAGUUAUAAAAUCGGAUACACCUGGAACCAAGGUGGAAGACAAGGCCCCGAGAAUAAGGCAACUUGCAUGGAGUUCCUCAAACUAUGGAUACAGAAGACUUUUGGAUGGGUUCAUCCUUACAAUGCAAGUUGGGUGUGGACUAUGUGGCAGACUAGGAUGUGGAGGAGGUAUGAUGAAUGUGAUAUAGAGGACCAAGCACUGGGCUCUGACUCUACAGAGUAAGGCACUACGUUCAUGCCUGUAUAAGCUUUGUUCACCUCCGCCAAGCUAAGAGGAAACCACAAGCUGUUGCUGUGCGAGCCUGGCAACUCCGCUUGGUCCUGAGGUAUUGGUAUGUGUGGAGAAGUGGACUACAGAGAGAGGUGGACAGAGAGCAGAGUGUUGACCAUGUGGCACAAUGCAGCAUACAGCAUAGCGCUGGGGACACUAUCCUACCCCACACACACUGACAGAUGUGAAGUCACACACUAUUGCAAGAACAACAUUAGCAAUACUCACCUUAUGGUUAACUUCAUGUGCCCUCAUCUACCUCAACAUCAUACUUCGGAACAUAUUGCAAGAAGAUUAAGUGAAUUUCCUGAGUUUAUGUGCAGAUGUGGACUUGUGCAUGCAGGAGUCAGAGAUCAGUCAGCAGCAAGUCAACACCGCCAUCUAUUGCACGCUGGUCUGAGAAGUCUGGCCCUUAAUAUCGCUCAGAUACUCAUCGACUCAACAAGAACAUCGCUGUCCAGCAUCAUCAUCACACUGCAGGCAUUGGAUACUCUGGCAGCAACGUCUGGAGGAGGCUGAAGAUUGGGUACUUCAGAUGCAGAUGACACACAUCCACUACAGGUUGGCAGGCUCCUUUUGGCAAAUUUCAGCGACGCACGCUGUCUAUACACAUGUUUUUUUUAAACUUCCCAGACAACUAGUGUGUUGCGUGUUAGAAGAGUAAUUCUGAAAGUAGUUUCUCUGGCCUGACGUCACUACAGAGCUACUGCUUGAAUCACUGGAGAGAGCAGCUUGUUGAGCACUGACAAAUGCAGGUACACACACACCGACGUGUAACUGUCAAAAUAAAGGAAACGCCAAAAUAAAGCGUCUCAAUAGGGCAUUGGCUCCACCACGAGCCAGAACAGCUUCAAUGCACCAGUUGGUGUUGAUUCUGCAAGUGUCUGGAACUCUAUUGGAGGGAUACAUCAACACUCUUCCACGCAAAAUUCUAUAAUUUCGUACUUUGUUGAUGAUGUCUCAAGCCCCACUCUGAAUCUCUCAUAAGUGUUCAGUUGGGUUGUGAUCUGGUGACUGAGAUGUCCAUGGCAUACGGUUUACAUCAUUUCCAUGGUCGUCAAAGCAUUCAGUGACCACUUGUGCCCUAUGAAUGGGGUCAUUGUCAUGCUAUGGAGGCAUAGCCAUGGUAGCUCAAAUAAUGGCAUGCCAAGCGUUUUUGUACGUGACCCUAAGCAUGAUGGGAUGUUAAUUGCUGAAUCAACUUAACCACACCUGUGUAGAAGCACCUGCUUUCAAUACACUUUGUUAAUCAAGUGGUUCUGUUAUUUUUGGCAGUUACCUGUACAUUACUGUGUGUGGUUGUAGGGUCUGGAGCGUCGUGCUCAGGCCUGGUUUGCGAACCACAUCUUUCCACAGUGUCUGAACUCCUGGGUUGAGUUUACCUGCCAGAGGAAACAGCACAGGGAGAGGCGAGACGACACAAUCCCAUAAUCACAUCCUGUUUCUGAACUAGUGCUGAUCUAGGAUCAGGUCCACCCAGUCCAUGUGAUCUUAUUAAUUAUGAUCUGAAAGGUAAAACUGAUCCUAGCACUACUACUAUUAUACUAUAUUAUAUAUAUAUUUUUCUAAAGGGCCCUUGGCUACGUUUAUGAACUACAUAUAGCUAGCCUUGUGGUGGUGAUGAUGACGUUUGUCUUAAUGUGUGAAACACUCUAACCGUCUGUGGGCAGCGUCAGUACACCUGGGCCUUUUACACCUGGUGGGGACAUUCAGAGGAGAGAAAGGAUCAGAGGCUGGCUGAGAGGAUGGUAAAACACAGCUGUCCCGACACACACACACACACCAUCAUGGUACAGCCAUACACCCAGACAGAGCCCAGCUGUCCUGCCCUUUGGGCCUUGGUGCAUGAAGAGAGGUUGUGUUUAAGUAGAGCCUGGCACCACUGGCAGUGGAGGGCGGGGUAGGAGAAGGAGAAACGGAGAGCCUCUGUCAUACUGGACCACCAUACUGUAGUCCACAACACACUGAGCCAGUGGAAGGACAACGUCACCAUGAUCCGGGACAGGUACUGUACGACUGACUGUAAAAUAUCAGUGAGGAUCAGGAUGAUAUUUUUCUUGAUGUUAUAAUGCACGUUAAUGACCUGCUACUUAUGCUGACUGUUGGGGACCAACUGGUUCAGAAAGACGUAGACUGGUGUGUGUACUUAACAGGAUUUGAUUAGACCCUUUUGAGGUUUUGGUUAAUCCUUCAAGUGUGUUUAUCUCUUAAGGCGAAACCGAGAGGCGCAGGCAGGUCGACAUGGGGAUGUGUCUUGUGUGCGACGCGCCCUGAGUGGCUGGAGUGAGGUACAGCAUCUUACCAUAUACAGUAUAGUUUACCAUUAGCCUUGCUCUGUUUGGUUUCUCCAGAGUAAUCCUAUAUUCUUUGAUGUCAGUGUGUCCAGCACAGAGGAGAGAAGAACAGCAGGCUGGAUCAGUUUGUCUUCAUGGCAUGAGUCAGACUUCUCAAACACACCUUACAGGCCUGGAAGGCACAACAGAGCUCACAUCCUAUACAUCACGGAUGGGCAAAUAUUUUUGCUUUCUUUCAGAAUUCCGGGUCUGAACUUUUGACAGUUGGAAUAGUAGAAUAUGUACACAAGGUGCAGCUUCGAAAUUUGGUUGUGCAUCAUCACUUUAUCUUCUGUCACUGACAGUCACUCAAUUAGCCCAUGUCAACUAAAAUGUAUUAGAUUGAUAAGUUAGUCUAGCGGCGUGCUGUCUAAACAUGUAUUUAUCAUGGUAGAACUACCAACCAGGGGGGCCCCCAUUGAUUUUGGGAGUCACUCACUCAGAUAUCAUAUUAAAAACUGCUAACAUUUCUCUCUGCCCCAUGUCAAAAUCUGUAGCAUUGCAGGAAAUUAACUUUAAAACUUAAACAACAACAAAAAAUUGCUCCGCUAUCAAUACAGGGGGCCCCGCCAAAAGGCUAGGACUGGCUCUGACUGCAUGUGUGGGUAUGGAUGUGCGUAUGCACCCCUCAAAGUUGCCCAUCCCUAUUUAUACGUUAACUGUUCUGAAUGUUGUUAGUUAACACUUCUAUUGUUCAUUCAUUUGGUCAUCAUGUGUUGUCUGACCUGACUGAUGCUCCUUGCAGAAUAGGCUCCACCCUGCCUUGUUUGUUUGUGUCCCUGUGGUGGCAUCACCUCCAGACAGAGCAGGUCGAUGAGCUUGUCGAGGAGCGCUACAGCCUGCAUCAGCAUGACUUCCUCCAGCAUCAACCCAAAUGGAUCCACCGUCUCAAUCUCUUUAUCCACCGUCUCUUACUUGGAAUGUUGAUUUUGGUCAUCUUUCUGACUGACACUUGUAUUACUUUCUUCCCAGGAGGGUUCUGCGUGUGUGGAAGGAGACUGCAGCAGCCAGGAGCAGUGAGAAGAGGGCAGGGAACCACUACCGGCACUGUUCAGGCUAAGGUGCUGUUGGCAUGGAGGAAAGCCACAUCCUGUGUCAAACCGUCACCGUCACCGGCAGUGAGCAGGGCUCCGAGUCGCAUGGAUAAAGUGAGGCAGCGGUGGACUUUCAGGAGAUGGCGGGAGCGAAGCAGAGCAGUUGUGGAGGAGAGUACAGGUGUGGAGAAAACCAAAAGGCACCACCACCACUCUUCUUUGCAGUAUGUUCAGAUUGGGGACUAUGUACUGGCAGCAUCAGCAGAGCUAUAAGGUGAUGCAAGAAACGGGACACUCAAUGUUGAGACGGGCCGCCCCCAGGUGGUAAGGGGAGGUAACAACACAGCCGCCAUGCUUAUCCUCAACACGGGGGCCACUCCUGUACCCCCUGUUCACUCAUGACUGCACGGCCAGGCACAACUCCAACACCAUCAUUAAGUUUGCCGAUGACACAACAGUGGUAGGCCUGAUCACUGACAAGGAU